CCUACGGGAGGCAGCAGUGGGGAAUAUUGCACAAUGGGGGAAACCCUGAUGCAGCGACGCCGCGUGAAGGAAGAAGUAUUUCGGUAUGUUAACUUCUAUCAGCAGGGAAGAAAAUGACGGUACCUGUCUACGAAGCCCCGGCUAACUACGUGCCAGCAGCGGCGGUUACACGUCGGGGGCAAGCGUUAUCCGGAUUUAUUGGGUGUAAAGGGAGCGUAGGCGGUUUAGCAAGUCAGACGUGAGAGCCCGGGGGUCAACUCCGGGACUGCUUUUGAAACUGGUGAACUAGAUUGGAGGAGAGGUAAGUGGAAUGCGUGGUGUAGCGGUGAAAUGCGUAGAUAUUAGGAAGAACACCAGUGGCGAAGGCGGCUUACUGGACUGUAAAUGACGCUGAGGCUCGAAAGCGUGGGGAGCGAACAGGAUUAGAUACCCCAGUAGUC
rnacentral:rRNA from 1 species